rnacentral:rRNA from 1 species
CAUUACAGAGUUAUACAACUCCCAUACCAUCUGUCAACCUACCCAGCUAUGCCUCGGCGUAAGCUCGGCCGGGGGCGGUCCGGCGCUACCCUGUAGCGGCGGCCGCGCCACCUCGGCCGCGCCCGCCGGCGGUACACUAAACUAUGUUUUACUUUACCUUCUGAGCGUCUUAUUUUAAUAAGUUAAAACUUUCAACAACGGAUCUCUUGGUUCUGGCAUCGAUGAAGAACGCAGCGAAAUGCGAUAAGUAAUGUGAAUUGCAGAAUUCAGUGAAUCAUCGAAUCUUUGAACGCACAUUGCGCCCAUCAGUAUUCUGGUGGGCAUGCCUGUUCGAGCGUCAUUUCAACCCUUAAGCCUAGCUUAGUGUUGGGACUCUACUGUACUGUAGUUCCCCAAAGACAGUGGCGGAGCGGCAGUGGUCCUCUGAGCGUAGUAAUUCAUUUCUCGCUCCUGUCAGGCCCUGUCCUCCCGCCGUAAAACCCCCAUCUUUUAGUGGUUGACCUCGGAUCAGGUAGGAAUACCCGCUGAACUUAAGCAUAUCAAUAAGCGGAGGAAAAGAAACCAACAGGGAUUCCCCUAGUAACGGCGAGUGAAGCGGGAACAGCUCAUAUUUGAAAUCUGGCCCUUGGGUCCGAGUUGUAAUUUGCAGAGGAUGCUUUUGGUGCGGUGCCUUCCGAGUUCCCUGGAACGGGACGCCUUAGAGGGUGAGAGCCCCGUACGGUUGGCCACCAAGCCUGUGUAAAGCUCCUUCGAC